rnacentral:rRNA from 1 species
UACGUAGGGUGCAAGCGUUAAUCGGAAUUACUGGGCGUAAAGCAUGCGCAGGCGGUUUUGUAAGUCUGGCGUGAAAUCCCCGGGCUUAACCUGGGAAUGGCGAUGGAGACUGCAAGGCUAGAGUUUGGCAGAGGGGGGUAGAAUUCCACGUGUAGCAGUGAAAUGCGUAGAGAUGUGGAGGAACACCGAUGGCGAAGGCAGCCCCCUGGGUCAAAACUGACGCUCAUGCACGAAAGCGUGGGGAGCAAACAGG